rnacentral:tRNA from 1 species
UUCUUCUAUAGGUUAUGGUUUAUAAACUAUCGAUUUGUGGUGUCGGGGAAUCUGUUUGAUGGGGGAAU